UCAAAACGAACGCUGGCGGCGUGCCUAACACAUGCAAGUCGAGCGAGAAAGUCUCCGCAAGGGGGCGAGUAAAGCGGCGCACGGGUGCGUAACACGUGGAUAACCUGCCUGGGUGUCUGGAACAACCCUCCGAAAGGAAGGCUAAUACCAGAUAAGACCACGGGGACCUUGGUCCCUGAGGUAAAAAGGUGGCCUCUGUAUACAAGCCAUCACAUCCAGAGGGGUCCGCGGCCCAUCAGCUAGUUGGCGGGGUAACGGCCCACCAAGGCUACGACGGGUAGCUGGUCUGAGAGGACGAUCAGCCACACUGGAACUGAGACACGGUCCAGACUCCUACGGGAGGCAGCAGUGGGGAAUUUUGCGCAAUGGGCGAAAGCCUGACGCAGCAACGCCGCGUGAGUGAUGAAGGUCUUCGGAUCGUAAAGCUCUUUCGGCUGGGACGAAAACGGUCUGGUGAAUGGCCAGGCCCUUGACAGUACCGGAAGAAGAAGCACCGGCUAACUCUGUGCCAGCAGCCGCGGUAAUACAGGGGGUGCAAGCGUUGUUCGGAAUUAUUGGGCGUAAAGCGCGUGUAGGCUGCGACGUAUGUCGGGUGUGAAAGCCCUCGGCUCAACUGAGGAAGUGCGCCCGAAACUACGUUGCUCGAGUGCUGGAGAGGGUAGCGGAAUUCCCGGUGUAGAGGUGAAAUUCGUAGAUAUCGGGAGGAACACCAGUGGCGAAGGCGGCUACCUGGACGGACACUGACGCUGAGACGCGAAAGCGUGGGUAGCAAACAGGAUUAGAUACCCUGGUAGUCCACGCUGUAAACGAUGG
rnacentral:rRNA from 1 species